rnacentral:lncRNA from 1 species
UGAAGCUAAUACCGAUUGCCCUGGAAAUAAGACUAAAAUGCAUUCAUUUUCUCCUUUUACUAUUUUUCCAUAGGGUGAAGCUGGUCCUCCUGGUCCUGCUGGUUCUAGUGGUAGUCCUGGAGAGAGAGGAGAACCUGGUCCUCAGGGUCAUGCUGGGCCACCUGGGCCUCAGGUACAUACAUACCACAUGGGAACUGAGAAGUGUUGUGCCACCAGCAUUGGUUAUUUAUAUAUUUAUUUUUUUCAGGGCCCUCCUGGAAGAGCUGGAAGCCCUGGCAACAAGGGUGAAAUGGGACCUUCUGGUAUUCCUGGUGCUCCUGGUCUGCCAGGAGGCCGUGGGCUUCCUGGUCCUCCAGGUACAAGUGGAAACCCUGGAGCAAAAGGCACUCCGGGAGAACCUGGAAAGAAUGGUGCAAAAGGAGAUCCAGGCCCAAAAGGCGAGCGUGGUGAAAAUGGCACCCCAGGGGCUCCUGGACCUCCUGGUGAGGAAGGAAAAAGAGGUGCAAAUGGUGAACCCGGCCAGAAUGGCG